rfam:Schistosoma mansoni strain Puerto Rico chromosome 7, complete genome
AUCAAGCCGACGAGGCCCAAAUAGGACGAAACGCGCAUCCUGGAU